GACGAACGCUGGCGGCGUGCUUAACACAUGCAAGUCGAACGGAAAGGCCCUGCUUUUGUGGGGUGCUCGAGUGGCGAACGGGUGAGUAACACGUGAGUAACCUGCCCUUGACUUUGGGAUAACUUCAGGAAACUGGGGCUAAUACCGGAUAGGAGCUCCUGCUGCAUGGUGGGGGUUGGAAAGUUUCGGCGGUUGGGGAUGGACUCGCGGCUUAUCAGCUUGUUGGUGGGGUAGUGGCUUACCAAGGCUUUGACGGGUAGCCGGCCUGAGAGGGUGACCGGCCACAUUGGGACGGAGAUACGGCACAGACUACUACGGGAGGCAGCAGUGGAGAAUAUUGCACAAUGGGCGGAAGCCUGAUGCAGCAACGCCGCGUGCGGGAUGACGGCCUUCGGGUUGUAAACCGCUUUCGCCUGUGACGAAGCGUGAGUGACGGUAAUGGGUAAAGAAGCACCGGCUAACUACGUG
rnacentral:rRNA from 1 species